UUCAAUAGUCCAUAUUGUAACGUUCGAAAAACACAUACGGCAUUCGCUCCGAAAACCCACUGUUCUCUAUGCGUUUCGAAGGCUCAAUUAUUCUGCGUAAGCAUCGUCCGGCCGGUCUGAGACGCCGGACGCGGCCAUAACCACCGCGGUAAUAAUAUUACAGUUUUAAACUGUAGGCGAAACGUCCGAGCGCCGGCCACCGACCCUCCCCCCCCACCGCCACCUCCUGCAACGCCGCCGCGCGGCCACCUCACGGCCACCUCACGAGCAUUAAUUAGGCACGGGGAAUAAUAUUUAUAUUCUUGGACUGCCGAACGCGACGGGCCGACCGCGUUAUCCCGAAUAGCAUUACCCGAAAUAACAACGAAAUAACCUACGAUGGAUAUUUUUGGGUACGCAGGUAUUUUAAAUGCGUGUACGGUGACAACCGGUAUACGGUCGCGGGGCGCAUACGAUACAACGCGGUGUCUACGAUAUUCCCCUGAAUACCCGCUCAGAGUUUUACACCCGUUUUCAUCGGUUUCCGCUACGGUACGGUCUC